GAUGAUGUGGCUGAGUGGUUUAAAGCGUCGGGUGCAGGUCCCGAUGGGCAUUGCCCGCGCAGGUUCGAACCCUGUCAUCAUCG
rnacentral:tRNA from 1 species